GCCUUCGUGGUGUAAGGGCAGCACACUCGGUGCACAUUCGAGAUGUCCGAGGUUCGAAUCCCGGCGAGGACA
rnacentral:tRNA from 1 species